GGUUAAGUUAGAAAGGGCGCACGGUGGAUGCCUUGACACUAGGAGUCGAUGAAGGACGGGACUAACGCCGAUAUGCUUCGGGGAGCUGUAAGUAAGCUUUGAUCCGAAGAUUUCCGAAUGGGGAAACCCACUAUACGUAAUGGUAUGGUAUCCUUACCUGAAUACAUAGGGUAUGGAAGACAGACCCAGGGAACUGAAACAUCUAAGUACCUGGAGGAAGAGAAAGCAAAUGCGAUUUCCUGAGUAGCGGCGAGCGAAACGGAAUCUAGCCCAAACCAAGAGGCUUGCCUCUUGGGGUUGUAGGACAUUCUAUACGGAGUUACAAAGGAACGAGGUAGACGAAGCGACCUGGAAAGGUCCGUCACAGAGGGUAAUAACCCCGUAGUCGAAACUUCGUUCUCUCUUGAAUGUAUCCUGAGUACGGCGGAACACGUGAAAUUCCGUCGGAAUCUGGGAGGACCAUCUCCCAAGGCUAAAUACUCCCUAGUGAUCGAUAGUGAACCAGUACCGUGAGGGAAAGGUGAAAAGCACCCCGGAAGGGGAGUGAAAGAGAUCCUGAAACCGUGUGCCUACAAAUAGUCAGAGCCCGUUAAUGGGUGAUGGCGUGCCUUUUGUAGAAUGAACCGGCGAGUUACGAUCCCGUGCGAGGUUAAGCUGAAGAGGCGGAGCCGCAGCGAAAGCGAGUCUGAAUAGGGCGUUUAGUACGUGGUCGUAGACCCGAAACCAGGUGAUCUACCCAUGUCCAGGGUGAAGUUCAGGUAACACUGAAUGGAGGCCCGAACCCACGCACGUUGAAAAGUGCGGGGAUGAGGUGUGGGUAGCGGAGAAAUUCCAAUCGAACCUGGAGAUAGCUGGUUCUCCCCGAAAUAGCUUUAGGGCUAGCCUUAAGUGUAAGAGUCUUGGAGGUAGAGCACUGAUUGAACUAGGGGUCCUCAUCGGAUUACCGAAUUCAGUCAAACUCCGAAUGCCAAUGACUUAUCCUUAGGAGUCAGACUGCGAGUGAUAAGAUCCGUAGUCAAGAGGGAAACAGCCCAGAUCGCCAGCUAAGGUCCCAAAGUGUGUAUUAAGUGGAAAAGGAUGUGGAGUUGCUUAGACAACUAGGAUGUUGGCUCAGAAGCAGCCACCAUUUAAAGAGUGCGUAAUAGCUCACUAGUCGAGUGACUCUGCGCCGAAAAUGUACCGGGGCUAAAUACACCACCGAAGCUGCGAAUUGAUACCAAUGGUAUCAGUGGUAGGGGAGCGUUCUAAGUGCAGUGAAGUCAGACCGGAAGGACUGGUGGAGCGCUUAGAAGUGAGAAUGCCGGUAUGAGUAGCGAAAGACGGGUGAGAAUCCCGUCCACCGAAUGCCUAAGGUUUCCUGAGGAAGGCUCGUCCGCUCAGGGUUAGUCAGGACCUAAGCCGAGGCCGACAGGCGUAGGCGAUGGACAACAGGUUGAUAUUCCUGUACCACCUCUUUAUCGUUUGAGCAAUGGAGGGACGCAGAAGGAUAGAAGAAGCGUGCGAUUGG
rnacentral:rRNA from 1 species